CAGGGGACACCCUGGACAGGUCACCAGUCUGUCGCAGGGCUACAUAUACAGACAGACAAUCACACUCACAUUCACACCUACGGGCAAUUUAGAGUAACCAAUUAACCUCAGCAUAUUUUUGGACUGUGGGAGGAAGCUGGAGUGCCCGGAGAAAACCCACGCAUGCACAGGGAGAACAUGCAAACUCCAUGUAGAAAGAUCCCAGGCCCACCCCGGGACAUGAACCAGGGAUCUUCUUGCUGCAAGGCGAAAGUGCUAACCACUACUUCACUGAGCAGUCCUUUUGCCCAAACACUUAAUGCUAAAGGAAAUAUUUAAAACUAAUGCAGUCUUGGAUGUAUUAGUGAUGAGUAACAAUGAUUGAUUUUGACAAUGAUUUUGUUUCCAUCAUUAUUUAUUUGUGGAUAAUUUGUGUGAAAUGAAAAACUCACACUCAGUCAUGUGUGCAUGACAUGACUAGUAAAAAAAACCUUCUGAUUAAUGUUGACCGUAAUAAGUCAUUAUUUAUGAUACUUAAUGUGCUUAAUUUCUUUCUGUUUCCUGGCAACUAAAGUUUAAUUUUUUUCUCUUCUGGGGCUGGUCAGAGACUCCCUCCCUACUGUCAGUGAAGAACAUCACAGCUGUGUGCCUCAGCAGCAGCUGGCCAAGAAGUGCCACACACUGGGACCAGAUGAACUACAGAGGAUAGCUACAGAGGUUUGUGACACAAUCCUGGGCCAUGCAAAAGAGAGGUUUGCCUUCACCAAACACCUAACCAGUGCUACACUGCUUCAAGGAGACAGAUUCCAGGAGUAUGACAGUCAGUUCCCUGAAGCAGCGCUCAGCACCACCAUGGAGGCCUAUGGUGAAAUGCUGCCUCACUCUGUGGACAAAGACCGAAUCCAUGGACCUCUUCUGGAGUUGGCUGUAGAGCAUGUCCACAUGAGGCAUGAUGCAGUGUUAAAGCUCCAGGAAGAAGCAGAAGGUAGCAUCCUCCAGGAGUCUCACAAAACCUCCAGCUUCACGGACAGUGGUAGGAUCAAAGUCACCUGAGUCCCUGAUGGUUUGAAGCACUGAAGGAGGUCGUCUUUGUGCUCAAACACAGUGUUGACAGCACGGCUGUGGAAGUUCCACCUUACUGUGCUUGCUCUUGGAAGGCUGUGUGCCACCACUCUGUCAAGCACACUGGUUCUCUUGGGGGAUCUUGAAAAAAAUCCUGAGAAUCCAGCUAGGUCAGAGAAGAACUGACCAACUUUUGGGAUACGGGAUGUCACCUGCUGCAUGAUAAUGUUGAGCUGGUGAGCAUAGCAGUGGACAUAGUGUGCAUUUGCAUACACAUCGCUCACUUUCUUCUGCAUACCACCUGUGGCUCCUCUCAUGACACUCGCACCAUCAUAGGCCUGGGAGAUGAGCUUGCUAUUCUGGUCAUCAGGGAGAAUGAGGCUCAGCCUCUCCAAAAGUGCUGUGGCAAUGGACUCAGCUGUGGCAGAUUGGAGAGGUAUAAACUCAGAAAAUCUCUCCUGCACUUCAUUCAUUUUGUCGAUGGAGCGGAUCACAAGAACAAGCUGACACUGGGUGGAGAUGUCCAUUGUUUCAUCAGCCUGGAUGGAUAUGAAGUCCGCACACUGAACUUCCUCAAUAAUGGACUCUCUCAAAACUGCCAGCAUGCAGUCAAGGAGUUCAUUCUGCACUGUUUGAGAGACAGCAGGUCCCAUUUGUGGCACUGGCAGCUAGCAGUGACACUUUUUGUGGCACCGCCGGAUGCCACAGUUAAUAUGCCACUGUUUAGGCGAGAUGCCACUGCCGCAGCGGCAUUUCCAGUGGCCUCUGGAGAUGCCAACAGAGAUGCCAUGGUUAAUGCCACUGUUUAGGGAACAUGCCACGGUUAAUGCCAGUAUUUUUACCGCUGUUUGGGCGACAUGCCACAGUUUAUUCCCGCUGUCUGAGGGAGAUGCCACGGUUAAUGCCACAGUUUGGGAGAGAUGCACGGUUAAUGCCAGUACCAGUACUUAUACCGCUGUUUGGGGAAAUGCCACGAUUCAUGCCACGGUGCAUUGGGAUCUUAAAGUAAUUUUUUCUUUAACCAGCACUCCAGCAACUCUGCUAUGAAUGGCGAUCAGCGUUUAGCCCCCUCCCUCGUCUCCAUGCUGUUCUGAAGAAUUCUCAUCAGAGCCUCGCACAGAAAUAAAGUUGUGCAAUUAAAAGCAGAUGAAAUUUAAACUGAUUAAAUUGAAAGUAAAUAUUAGUUACUAUUAAAAUUUAAAUACAAUACAGAAUACUAAAAAGUAAAUGAGUAAAUACAGUAAUAAACGACAAAAUAUAAGGUGUGUGUAUCAUAUUUUUCAUGAACAACUCAACCAUUUUAAUCCUGAGGGAAAUGUAAGUGUUCAGCAGCUUACAUACGACAUAAAGUAACAAGAAAAGAUAAGGCAGGUUAGUAACAUUGACAGUAAAGGUUAGUAUAUAAACUAUUGUAAUUUAAGAUCAAUAGGGUGCUAAGUGAAAUUUAAAAAUUCAGUAUACAGUAUAUACUUUUGUCAAACAUUUGGGCAAUAUUCUGUUUGAAACAUGGAACAGCGAAGACAAAAAACUAUUGACUAUACUUUUGGCAGCCAGUAAGAAAUCUGUUAUGAGAAAAUGGUUGAGAGUAGAACGACCCACCAUGGAUGACUGGAUUGAUGUUGUGUAUGAAAUAUAUGUCAUGGAAAAAAUAUCUUACUCUCUUAAGGUUGAAAAAGAAAAGUUUUAUAGAAUCUGGUCCAAAUGGACUGGGUACGUAAAACCAAUCAGAUCUGAAUUUACUUGAAUAAGCUUUUGUUUUGUACAAACCUGUCGACUGUCCUUUUAUGUAUAUUUGGAUAUUUCGAAAUGGUGCGCUCCCUAACUUUGUUUUGUUUGUUUUUUAAAGUUUUUUUGUUUGUUUUGUUUGUUUUGUUUUCUAAUUUUUCUUUAAGAAAAUAAGGGUUAGUCCGAGGAAAAACAAAAAACUAGAAAGGCUGUAGGGAAAAUUCCUGUGAACGGUAUAUUUUCAAUUAUUUUUUCUCUUUUCUUCUAUCGGUUCUUGAACAUCUAAGUCUGUAAGAUGUAUUUGAUGGAAACUUGCCGUUCUAAAUAAAAAGAUAAUUUAAAAAAAAACAUUUGGGCAUAUUUUCUCAUUGAAAUGAAUGAGAAAAUGUGUCCAAACCUUUGACUGGUAGUGUACAGGAGACAGAGUUUACUUGAAGUCAUCAAUCAGCUCAGAUUAAAUGUGUUGGACUGCAGAGAAAACAAAAUGCACAAGAAGAGCACUCAAAGAGCACAGUAGUCCUCAGUCUUUGUGUUAAUUCUGACAGAUGAAAUCUUUAAUUUAAAAAAAUGACCUUGCGCUGAGCACAGGCGUGGGUUAUGCAUGUGUACAUUAUAUAUGGAUACCAACUCACGUGACUUAAAUAUGUCGCAGGUGGUGGGAAUUGAUUGGACUUGAAAAACACCCCCACAAUUUAUUUAAUUGUUCCUUCUAUCAUUUCCGAUGGGUAAGUACUGAUAAGUCCGCAGCGUCAGAUUGCAAUCAUGUGAUCGUCAGCAGGCAGAACGCAAUGUUCAUGUUGUCACAGUUACAGUGAUGCUAUCUUGCAAUGGGAUAUCCUGAAGAAAUCUGUGGAUCCGGACUAUAAGCCGCAUCACUGCCAAAAUGUAAUGAGGUGGUCCUUGUGUCAUUUUCUUACCUUGCCUGAAAAUUUCAUCCAAAUCCGUUAUUCUGUUUUUCAGUAAUGUUGCUAACACAGACGGAGUCACAUAUGCCUUGUAUGAUUUCCGAUAGGUAAGUCCCGGUAAGCCCGCAGUGGUAGAUUUGUAGUAGGGUUGCAAUCAUGUGAUCAUCAGCAGGCAGCUGAUGCUGUGUUCACUUGUUGUCAUAGUUACAGUGAUGCUGUGUCGCUAUCUGGCAGUGAUUCAGAAAUAUUUAACAAAUCCUUGGAUCCAGACUGUAAGCUGUGUUACCCGCUAAAUCUAAUCAGCUGGUCCUUGUGUCAUUUCUGACCUUUCCUGAAAAUUUCAUCCAAAGGCAAUAUUCCGUUUCUGAGUAAUAUUGUGCACAGACAGAUGGAUUCACAGAGAAAUGUAUACUCAUGGUCACAUAACACUGCCUCGUUCCUUGGCGUAGCAAUAAAAUAAACUUAUGCAAAAACAUGCAUUUUGUUUUUUGCAAUAACUCCGCUCACUUUGUCUUGAAUACAUGACCGGAGCCUUCUGGUAGUUAUUUUAAAUCAAGGGUGAAACAGCAUCAGGAGCCCAUUAGAUUCAUUUAUGUGUCUGCUAUCUCAUUCAAAGCAAACUGCAUCACAAACAAAUACAUUUUCAUUAACAUAGAGAAAAAAGCUACCUGAAGGUUAAACCCAGACACUCCUCUAAAAUGUAGUUAUGCUGUUCCUUGAAUGUGGCAGUGAGGAAAUCUUUUUCUGAAAUCCUCAAAUUCAAAGCAGUGUUUCUACAAGUCAUACUCUAAGAACUACGCAGUAACCUUCUCCCAAAUUCAAGUCAAAUAUUUCUCUUUUUAACCUUGGAUGUGUGUUGCAAACAGAUGACAACAUAAAGCUACGAUCGACUCUAACUGGUGGCCUGGCAUCAUCACGUGAAACAUUGCUGCUGCAGUGGUCAUCCCUGUGCAUGCAGGGUAUAGACAGGAAAAACAUUGUCCACAUGAUCACGCUACCCUAGAUAAAGCAUAAAUGACAUCUUUGUGUCACUUUGUGCUGCAACAAGGGCAAGGGCAAGCUGAGAACUGAACUGUCGCUCGUCUUCAGCAACACAGAGUUCAGGAAUUGCAAUGGUGCUGUGGCUCUGUACCAGCUCUUCAUGAGCAACAAUCUUCAGGACACCUUCUCAGAGACUGUGUCUCUCCUGAAGAUCCUCAUCACGACUCCAAUGACGACAGCUGAAUCUGAGAGGUGCUUCUCAACGCUAAAAAGAAUCAAGACCUUCCUCAGGGACACGAUGUCGCAGGAUUGUCUUAAUGCACUGGCCAUGCUCUCUAUGGAAAAGAAACUUGUCAGGGAGACCCCAGAUUUUAACCAUAGAGUCAUUGAGAAAUGUGCAUGUGUCAAAGGCAGAAGAGCAAAGCUUGCAUACAAAAAAUAACACAGAUGUAGAGGUGCUGACUUUAAUCUCUAAAAUGUGAGGAUUUACUUUUUUGUCAUUUAAUAAUGUAAAUAGAAAUGUUAGUUGACACCAGUGGCACUUUAGACUGAAAGCCUGUUGAUUUUCAUAUGUUCUGAAAUCUGAGGAAUUACUGUUUUUCUUUAUUUUCAUUGUAAAUAUUUAAUGUUAGUUGACAGAAGCACUUUGGGCUCAAAGCCUAAGAUAAGAUAAGAUAGGUUUUAUUUGUCACAUGCACAGUUAUAGUAUAAUGCCUAAUGGUUUCAGUAUUUUUUUUCAGGCAAAGUGACAAAUUUUUAUUGCUUUGAUCUUAAAUAUGCAGAUUUGCUGUUUUCUCAUUGUCAUGUAAGGUUGUUAAUGUAAAAGUUAGCUCACAGAAGCACUGUCUGCUUUAAGCCUUAUAGUUAGGGUUUGUUUUAACAAAGUGUUCAAUGUUUGUUGGUUUCACAGGUAUGGAUUUGUUUUUGUUUAUACGAGUAUGUAAAUAUAAAUAUGUUGUUCCAUAGAUUUUGCUGGACAGAAGAAGCACUUGGCACUCUUUGAAGCUGGAAAAAUGAAUUGUUUCUUUUGUUUUACUUUUGAAGUAAAAAAUAGAUUUGCAUAUUUAUACAUUCUUAAUUUGUUUAAUUAUAAUAAAGGAGAUUUUAAGGGUUUGUGUGUACCAAUUACACCUUAUCUGGAGCAAAUCAUAUCAAACUGGGGAGAUAAAUUCAGAUUCACUAGCUGGUAACAUUUACAUGCAUUUAAUGCGAAGGAGCAAAGCAAGAAGAAAAAGAAGAACUGCUUCCAACGCAUCUUGUCUUGGAUGAAGAAGACGUUCUGCUGCUGCUGUGUGUCCGAUGUGAUGGACUGAGCAGCACCAGUGGCCUGCAUUCACAUUUCAGUUUCACAGGUCUGACCUCAGUAUUCUUCGCUGGGUUUAUUGUUCUCUUGUGUUUUCGAUCUGUUUUCUGUCUAAUAUCCUGCUCUCUCUCUCCUUUACCCUCACUCCAAAAGGUGGAGGCAGAUGACCGCCCUCUCAGAGCCUGGUUCUGCCGGAGGUUUCUUCCCAUUUCAACAGAUGAUUGGCCGUGAUGAAGAGACGUCAGAUUGUACAGAACGGUGUUAUGGAGCGGACAUUAUGGAACUGCGGUUCCUGGCCUCCCCUACCUUGAAGUGUUUGUUGUUCUCUUGUGCUUUCUCUGUCUUUUUUCUAUCUACUGUCCUGCUCUCUCUCUCCUUUACCCUCACCCCAACCGUUCGAGGCAGAUGGACGCCCUGUCUGAGCCUGGUUCUGCCGGAGGGUUCUUCCUAAAAAAGGGAGUUUUACCUCCCCACUGUUGCCAAGUGCUUGCUCAGACGGGGAAUCCAAAGGAAAUUAUGGAUUUGUUGGGUUUCUCUCUAUAAUUUUGUCUUUACUUUUCUCAUUGAACUGUUUUGAGAUGGCACAUUUGAACUGGUAAAUAAAAUGUAUUGAAACUGAA